rfam:Triticum aestivum genome assembly, contig: Triticum_aestivum_CS42_TGACv1_scaffold_112371_2AS
CUAAAGAGUAAGAGGAAAAGAUAGUCUCUAAGAGCAUGGGAAUAGGAUCAUGGAGGAAAUCUAGAGCUCGCUUUCUCCUCUAGUAUCGGAGGUAGAAAUUUUCUUUAUGUUUUCCCGAUGCCUCCUAUUCCUAUAGAUCUUAGGUACUCCUUCCUCUUUCUUCCGGCU